CGUGGAGGAACGUGACGCUAGAGAAGGCGCUGCUUCUUUGCACAUGUUCGACAGGGCCGUGCUAAAAGAGCUGGGUCUUCUUCAACUUCAACAACUUUAUUCUGGGUCUUGCUGCCUGAGUGUCCAAGAAGAGGGACUGUAAAGAUGUACCAGGCUGUGGAAAGAACCCGCAGAAAACCCACUGGGACACAAGGAGAGCGACCCUUCUGCUACACAAAUUCCAGGCAAACUAGCUGUGGCAGAUUUCUCUAAAGAAAACCUUCAACCUGGAGCUUACGGAGAAUAAUA